AAGCAAACAUCCACUCAGAAAACAUGAUGUCACCAAGGAUGGUUGGAUUACCCUGCAGGGCACUGGCAGCAAAGACGCCCUCCCAUCUCCAGCUCAGCCUCCCUCCAGAGAGGACUCGUAGAACACUCAUUUCCAAACAGGAGCCACGACACUUCCGAAACAAGCUGGAACCACAGCUAGUUCAGGAAGCUUCCCUCUAGUCCAGCCCAACCCAGGGUCUUUCACAUGGACCUGAAGGAAGGUGAAAGAGACAAGGUCUUGCUGUGUUGCCCACACUGGUCUCAAACUCCUGGGCUCAAGUGAUCCUCCUGCCUCUGCCUCCCAAAGCACCGGGAUUACAGAUGAGAACUACUGCACCUGGCUAAGAAUAGUCACUCUUCUUGUUAAUAUUCUUUCUCCUUUUCCUCUUUCACUCCUUUCCUUUAGCUUUGAUUUCUUCUUCACUUUGGAUGUUCCUCUUUCCCCUUUCUUCCUUCCUUCUGCUUCCUCUUCCUUGCCCUCUCUCCCCUUAAGCUAAUUACUUUUAACCUUUAUUUAUCCAUUAUUAAA